AGUGGAAAGGGCUGAGGCCCCACUGGGAGUGGGGGUGGCGGCAGGUAGCAGAAGAGGUGGAUGGGAGAGACACUGGUCUUCCGGGAGGAACCAGCUUGCUGACACCUGAUUUGUAGACCAGGGAGAGCCAUUUUGGACCUCUGACCUCCAGAACUGGGAAAAAGGAGACAGAGAGCAAGAGACGGCUGUUACCUCCAGCUUUCAAACCCAGUCUAAUCAUGAAGCCUCAUAAAAGAAGAACCAGAGAAGAGGCAGCACGAAGACGUGGCCAGGAAGGGGUCACAGACAGGAACACAAGGGCCUCUGGAUGCUGGAGAAGGCACGGAUCUCCCCCGGAGCUUCCAGAGGGAGCCAGCUGUGCAGAGAUGGGAUUUUGCCAUGUUGGCCAGGCUGGUCUUGAACUCCUCACCUCCAGCGAUCCACCCGCCUUGUCCUCCCAAAGUGCUGGGAUUACAG